UCAAGUAACUCCUUCAUGAAGGCUGGCUACAUUUGCACAAUGCCCAGCCCCAAGGUAGAGCUUUGGGAAGAAGGAUCAAGCAAAUGACUAGUUCACCAAAUAAAAUGUCCUGGCCAGGGCAGAUGGAUGGUGUUGACAAGCAGUGGGGAAAGCAGGGAGAGAGAGACUACAACACAGAAGAGAAGACAGCAAUACAAACACAGAGGUAGAGAUUAGAGUGAUGCAGCCACAAGCCAAAGAACCCUGGCAGCUGUCAGACACUGGAAGAGGUGAGAACAGUCUCCCUGGAGCCCUUGGAGGGACUACAGGUCAUGACUACUGUUUUCCUCAUGUCAGAGAAGAAGAAACUGCAACACAGAAAUUGUAUAACACGACAAAGUUUCACACUUAGAAAAUUAAAGAAAGAGGAGGGAUUUGUCACAACCCAAGCAUCUCCAAUCCAAGGGUCUACAGUCCUUCCCUGCUAUGUCACCAGUUUUUCACUGGUAGCUUUGAAUAUUCAUCUCAGUUCUGGGCAAUACAGAGCAAUUUUGUG